rnacentral:lncRNA from 1 species
AAAGAGUGAGAAUCCCGAGUGAAUCGCCGGAAAUUUCGGGAGGCAGUUCUCCGUUAAAACGGUUAUUGGCCAACUCGAUUAUCGUGACGGAAGGUAGCUUGAAAAUCCCUGACGGAACUGCGCCGUUAAGGUAGUUAUUGGAGGCUCGGAUCUUGGUUAGAGACUUGCAGUUAGCAAUCUCGUUAGGGAUUGGACCAUGGAAGAAGUUAUCUGUGAUCAAGAACGUUUGUAACCUCCCACUCUUGCACAAAUCCCGAGGGAUCAACCCGCUGAAGUGAUUCUUCGUGACGUCGAAGAACUUGAACUUCCCGUUUUGCCCCAGGUUCUGCGGGAGCUCAGAGGAGAAAUUGUUCUCCCAGAGCUGCAGCGUUUCCAGAUUAGGAAGCUCGCCGACGAAGGAGGGAACUGAGCCUCGGAGAUUGUUGUGGAAGAAGUUCAUCAGAGUGAGGUUUUUCAGCUGAGAGAAGCGCGUCGGUAUCUCCCCGGUGAGGCCGUUGAAGGAGAGAUCCAGUGACAUGAGGCUCACCAUGUCGGAGAGCUCAGACGGAAUGGUUCCGGUGAGGUUAUUCAUUUGCAAGAACAACGUGUCGAGGUUUCUCAUAUUUGCUAGACUCGGUGGAAUCUCGCCGCUGAGGUUGCAGCUUGAGAGGUCAAGGUAUUUCAGAGAUUCCAUGGUGCCGAACUCCGGUGGAAUUCCGCCUUCGUAAGCGUUGUUGUAUCCGAGCUUGAGAAUCCUCAGCGUCUUCAACUUAGACAAACUCUUCGGAAUAUUCCCCGAUAAGCUAUUGGUGCUUAAGCUUAAAAACUCCAAGCUCUUAAACUCCGAGUAACUCUCCGGUAUGCUUCCGGAGAAAUAGUUUCCGUCGAGCUUCAGGUAUUUCAAUUUCUCCAGUUUCACGAACUCUUCCGGAAGCGAUCCGGUGAAGUUGUUGUCGUAGACGUCGAGGACCUCGAGUUCGGUCAUCGGAAGAAUUAUUUUGCCGGGAAAAUAGCCGGAGAAGACGUUGUGAGAGAUGUUGAGGUGCUUGAGGGAAGUGAGGGCGGCGAGCUCCUUGGGAAGUUCGCCGGUGAGGUUGUUCUGCGAGAUGGUGAGGUUUUCAAGUUUGUCCAAUUCUCCGAUCUCCGGCGGAACGUGGCCGAAGAGAGGAACAAAGGAGACGUUGAUAGCAACAACUCGAAGUUCUUGGUCGCAAGAUACACCUGAAAAGAAACAGUGUGCAGAAAGCGACGUGGAAAACUUCCAGUCAUGGAGCGCGUCGUCUUUGGCUCUGUCUCCCUUCAUGGACUCCUUCAGCUUCAGCAGCGCAUCCAUGUCACUGAACGAAGAACACGUUGCCACGUGUAGCCAUAUGAAGAAAACAAACAAUAAAAGCGUGUAACACACACAGCUUCUCAUGUCUCUCUGGUUUUGCUUCGCAGUAGUAGUACUCACUCUCUCAUAUACUUACGCCAAAUGCAUACAUAAUGUACAACACCACACACCACAUGCUGCCUCUAUUUAUAUACACCGUUACGUAUUCAAUAGCAUAUGUGUAUGUACAACACUGUAUCAUAUGGUUGCAUGCAAUACUAAUUCUGUUUGUAUGAAAUGGGAAAAGUUGUUCAAAGUGGAAAAAAAAAGAACAAUGUUCAUCAGUAGCUAGCCACACGAGAUCCACUAUCAGUUUGUGACACACGAAGUGUAAUUAUGUUUCUAGAAAAUUAUAUGCCAGUAUAAAUUUCUAAUACGGAUUAGUUAUAUUGAUUCUAGUGGGGGAAGAGGUCCUACAAGCAAUUAGUUUAGAGGAGAAAUUUUUAUGCAAGCGUUGUCUAUCACAAAUCUUUUAUUCAGUAACUAGUGUGUGUGUAUAAAGCUAAUUAUUCUUGGUAUAUAUAUUUUUAAAUAUGACUGAAAUAUUCUUAAAUUUUUAUUAAUAAAGUAUGUAUUGUAGAAAUUUGGAUCAUGCACUUUACUAAAUUGUUUGAUGACGAUGGAACUUAUUAUACGAUUGGAUAACAUUUGGUGGCUGUUAAGUCUACUCGAACGUGGAGUUAGCUUUUGUGAAGAGAAAGAUGCAAUCGAUCCCUGUGACCAUUCUAUAUGGAGGUUUAAACUUUCCAUGAGCCAGACUUUGUACUGAAACAAAAGUGGUUUUUCGUGAUUCACCAAAUUAAAAAAAGGAAUAAACUAAAGAAACUUUCUUUACGUGGAAGGAAGUCUUCUUAGCUACUGUGCUUUGUGCUUGGGUACAUCACUGGGAUAAUUAUUGCCCAUGUAAAAGCAAAAGCAUCAAUUCUCCGUUUUAAGUUGUUCUGUCAACGAUCAAGCUCUAGAUAUUGCAGAAUCGUAUUCUAUGAGUGACAAUUAAAGGGUAUUAUGCAUAAAUAAAAUUUUAAAGCAAAUUAUUCAUCGCAAGUGGUUCUGUUCCAAACAUUUCCAAGUUAAAUUGUAAAUUACUACCAUUUUGGUAUUUUGAAAGGAGAAUGAAGAAAAACGAGACGAUAUAUAUGGGACAGAAGUUAUCAGGUGGGUUCAUGUAACUUAUUCUCCUUUUAAUUUGCAUAUAAAAACUAUAUAUAUUUUGAUAGAUUAAGACAAAUGAGUUAUCUAAAUUAUCUUUAUUUUUAGUUUUAACUAUAAAGUUAAUGUUCUUAAUUUUUUUAAUUAAAAUAUAUUUCCUUUUAUCUUAAGUACAUAAUUUUUUUUUAUCUUACAUAUAAACAAAUUUUAAUAAAUUUUAUGUUAAUAUCUCUAAAAUAUUCUUUAUUUAAUAAAAACUUUAGUUUUAAUGACUUUUUAUUAUUAUCAAGUUUCAAUGAAAAAUAAGUUAAAAAAAUAAUUUUUAAUUAAAAUUAAUAGAAUUAAAUAUAAUUAAAUAAAUUUUUUAAUUAUUUUUUUUAUAUUUGAGAUCGGAUGGAGCAGUGAUUUGUGCCACUGGAAGGAGAAUGUAUUUAAGAGUUUCUCUACACUUAGGAAUAUUGGGAAGAAAUUUCUUUUCUUUUUUCCUUUUUUUUAUUUAAGGCCUAAAAAAGUGUUGCAAGGUCAAUAUAUUCUCACACAAAUACACAAUGAUGCUUCAAGAAUGGAUUCAUGCCCGUGCGUUCAACAAUUCUUUCAUAGUUUUGGGAAUAGGGAGCCACUGAUAUAUGGAUGAGUGGUACAUGCUUCUCAAAAAGUGUUCUAUAUUGUCGUUUGUCAACUCCAGUGAUGAUAGCGACUGCAAAUUAGUGUCCGUGAAGUGCCCGUCUUUUACACGGCAGACAGUUUUUAUUCUCUAAAGCCUAAUCAAAUUCUAUGUUUCAUUUUUUACUCAUAAUAUGAAGUUUUUAUUUUAGUCUUGUUUUGAAAAAAAUAUUUUAGUCUUUUAAAGUUUUUUCUUUAAUUAUUAUUGUCAAAUAAUAGCGUGUGAUUAUGUAAUAAUGAUGUUGACAAUAUAUUAAUUCGUCACAUUAUUAAAAAAAAUUGAUGCAACAAUCAUAUGUAAAACUUUUUAGUUGAUGAGAGAUUUAAUAUUUUUGAUAAAUUGUGUUUUUAGUUGUAUAGGUUGACAUGGUGGAAACACAUCUGAAUUGUGGAUCAUGUUUUAUCCCUUGCAUAUCCUGAACACUGUGAUUAGACUAAUUAACAUGCAUGAUUCAUAUUGUUAAAAUUUGAAAUCAUGUAUGUCGGAGCAGAUUGUAGACUGCUGUGCAUGAACGUCCAGGAAGGUGAGGCUUGGGGUCUAAAAGCGAUUAAUUUUUCUGCUGAAAUGGGAUUGCAGAAUAUAAUAUAUCUUUGAAGUUGACAACAAAGGAGUGGUAGACAAACGAAAGAAGACAGUAGUAGAUCAUUCUGAAUUGGGAUCUAUCAUCGAUGAUUGAAGGAGUUUGUUAGUACAUAAUCCUACUUUUUGUAUUAGCGUUGUAGAGAAGUCAAUGGUAUUGACGUAUUGUCUUGAGUUACUAAUUAAGGGUCACUUCAUGUUAUAUUAAUCUUUAUAUUAAAUUAUAAACUAUGUUAAUUCCAAAACAAAAAAAUAAGUUUUUUCUUCUAAAUUAUCUUUCAUUUGAAACUUGAUAGAAAGUCUUUGGUCAUAUUAAAUGAAAAACAAUUUUAGGAUAAUCUCAUUAAAAAUUAAGGAUAAAUCCAAUCAAUUUUUGCUUAUGUAGGAGACUAAAAAUUAUGAUUUUUGUUUGCUUAUAAAAGAUAUCAGAGAUAAUAUAUGCUUUAUUUUAUUUUAUAAAUAAAUAAAUUGGGGAGAUGGUUUUUUGGGCUUUGAAAAUAAAAGGGAUUUUAUAAUUAAAGUGUUUAAUUAUUAAAACUUUUAAGAAUGUGUAGACCCUUGUGUUGAACUUUUGUCCUUGUAAACUCAACUUAUCCUAAUGGUUGCUCUAAGUAUCCCAACCUGACUCUUUUCCUUUUUGUCAUCCUUGCUCAUUUGGAGAAUGAGUUGUGAGACUUGAUUUAACUAAGUGUGUGUGUGAUAACUCAUCACAUCCAACUUGAUCCACGUCUGAGAGAAGCUAUCAUUUGUUGCUUUGGCGUAUUUUCAUUCUUUUUAUGUGACUUUUAAUGUUAACGCGUGUAUAAGGCGUGAAAACAAACACCAUCUAAGGAGUUAGGGAUUGUAGGAAUCACAUUGCGUUGUCUAUAUUCCCGUGUCGUGGAAAUUUUAUUUCAAGGUAAGAAUGAGUAAGACUAUUUGGCUCGUGGAUGUGGCUUUGGUGGUUGUUAGUGGGUUGACAUGUUGCAUUUUAUUCCACAUUUUGUAUAUUUGUUUAUGUAAGUUUUGAUUCAUUUUGUGUUAAUUAGGAUUAGUUGCAUGUUUAUUUUGUUUAAUUGUCUAAUAUGAUCCUCAAUAGGGUCAUAAUGUUUUUAUGAAUUGUUUUUGAGGGAUCCAACAUUAAAAUUAGGUUUAGCCAUUAAUUUUAUUUGAAGGGAUGCACUAGUUGUUUCUUAUAAAUAACCUUAUACUCUCUUGCUUUUGGGAUAUCAUUCAAUAAGAUUAGAAUUUCACUUGUUUUGUGAGUUUAAGAGUUGUGUCUCUUGUGAGUUCUUAGAUUGAACAUUUCUUGAUUCUUAUCAAAGAUUUUCAUAUCUUUGUGGUGAAUCGUUACUGAACUUAUCACUCUCUAUAGAAUAUGACAUCUUUCCCUACUCUUUUCCAUCGUUUUAUUUUUAUUUUUAAAUACUUAUUCUUAAUUCCUCAUGCUUAAUAUUUUACAGUUUUUGUUCUUGCACAACUUUCCUCUAUUCCUUUGUUUAUGUGUGUCAUUCCCAUAAAGCUUCAAGCUUUCUUUGAUUGAAUGUGCCAUUGUUACAAAAAUUAAGGAAAUUGUUUUAAAAAUUCUUAUUUUUCAUUCCUCUUUAAUUCAAUCUAUUAAAUACAAAUCCACUCAAGAACGAUCUAUGGAAACAAUAUAUCAUAUAAUUUUCAUAACCUAGAAAUUUUUGAGGUUUGUCUUUUUUUUUUGUCCUUAGAAAGGUGGAUUAGUUAAGGAGAUUGCAAUGGAUACUUGAGGUGAGGUUCAAUACUUAGAGUGAUUUUGAUCUAGAGUACAUGAUGUAUGUGUAGACAUCGAAACGACAUGACAUUGGUGCCUAAAUUAUAAGGUCAAAAUUAUCUAUAACUUUUGUGAAGAUACCAAGUCGAGAAUUUUGCAUCCUAAAUGUGAUUUUGGCUAUGCAAGCGACACACUUUGUUUCCUAUUUGUUUACUUUGUGCUUUAAUUGUAAUGGCCUUGUCCCUUUUAGGUUUAUAGAUUUAAAUAGAUCUUUUAGAAUUUGUUUUGACAAGUUCCCUAGUGGGGAAAACCUUGGAGAUCAAGGAGUGUUGGCACAAGGAUUGGAAUGAAAGAUGAUUCAUCUUUUCUCUACUUUCUUGAUUUGGAUUUUCUUAUCUUAUAUCUUGAUUUUGUUCUUUAUAUUUAAGUGUUUUCUAAAUUUUUCUUAGGAGCAUAGCCAUUGACUAUUAUUUAUAAUAAUCUAGUUAUUUUGAGGUUCUCUUAAAAGGUGAGGGGAGAAGAAAUAACUAAAUUUGUAAUUAGCUAGGUUUGACCCCAAAUGAAAAUGAGAUUAAUUAACCCAUGUUCAAUUACCAAUAGAAAUCAUAUACUUGUCCUAUUGUAAAAUAAGAUAAAUGCCUGAUUUUUAUUCGUCAUUUUAAUCCCAUUUUCAGCUAGACAAACUCAUAUUCAUAUUAUAAAAUAUUUUUCAUUACAUUGCUAAUUAUACAAGCAAUUUAUAAAUUACUAUAAUUGUACAUACUAUAUUUACAAAUGUUAAAAUGUUGAUAGGGGCAGCUGCCCCCACAAUGCUUAAAGUGCAUCCGUGAAUGGAACAGAGGUUAGGGUUCCCUGCAAACGAGUUGUCGUUGAAGACCAAAAACUGACCCUCGUUGGGGACCUUGCCUGUGAAAUUGUUGUAGGAGAGAUCCAGCGUGGUGAGGCUCGUCAUGAAUUUUAUCUCGUCAGGGACUGGCCCUGUUAAAUGGUUUCUCGAGACAUUGAAAAAGCUCAAGACCGUGAGGUUCUUAAUCCCCUUAGGAAUAUCCUCAACUAGCAUGUUCCGGCUGAGAUCAACGGCGGCGAGUGAAACGCAGCGAGUAAACGUCGUUGGGAUUGGUCCGGUGAGAUUGUUGCCGCUUAUGUUGACCACAGUCAGCAUUGGUAGGUCAAAAACCUCCCCCGGGAUUUCUCCAAGGAACUCGUUCGUGUCAAGUGACAGAGUCUGCAGUGCCCUUAAGUUCUUCAACGCUGGGGGAAUUUUCCCAGUGAAUAAGUUGUUGGAAAGAGUGAGAAUCCCGAGUGAAUCGCCGGAAAUUUCGGGAGGCAGUUCUCCGUUAAAACGGUUAUUGGCCAACUCGAUUAUCGUGACGGAAGGUAGCUUGAAAAUCCCCGACGGAACUGCGCCGUUAAGGUAGUUAUUGGAGGCUCGGAUCUUGGUUAGAGACUUGCAGUUAGCAAUCUCGUUAGGGAUUGGGCCAUGAAAGAAGUUAUCUGUGAUAAUGA